rnacentral:ncRNA from 2 species
UCUUAAACCUCGGGGUGCCUUACUAUCAGGCUGAGAUCAAACCCGCAGAACCUCGACCGGAUAAUGCCGGUUAGGAAAGGUAAGCCAUUGGUUC